rnacentral:rRNA from 1 species
CCCUUAGAUGUUCUGGGCCGCACGCGUGCUACACUGAGUGGAUCAGCGGGUCAGGUUACGCGAGAGCGUUUCCUAAUCUUCAAAUCCGCUCGUGAUGGGGAUUGACGGUUGCAAUUUUCCGUCAUGAACGAGGAAUACCUUGUAAGCGCGGGUCAUCAUCCCGCGCUGAAUACGUCCCUGCCCUUUGUACACACCGCCCGUCACUCCUACCGAUUGAGUGGUCCGGUGAGGCUUUGGGAUCUAAGCGAAAAGAGCGUUUCGCUCCUUUUGCUGGGAGAACUCAGUCGAACCUUAUCAUUUAGAGGAAGGAGAAGUCGUAACA